AGGAGGACUCACUAUCUGCAUU
rnacentral:miRNA from 9 species